rnacentral:sRNA from 1 species
UUGACAGCUCUGGAGAAUGAAGUCCUCUAUUCACAGAACAGACAAAGUAUGGACAACAGCAGUACAAGUUUCCCCUGGUGGAAUAUCAACGCUCUCACCUGAACCUGGAGCGACAACUUCCCUUCAGUAUAGAACUUUAAAAUGGGCAUUUCUGUAUCUUAUGAAUGCUUAACUUUA